AAAGGAAUUGACGGGACCCCGCACAAGCGGUGGAUCAUGUUGUUUAAUUCGACGAUACGCGAAGAACCUUACCAGGUCUUGACAUCCCCUGCAAGAGCUUAGAGAUAAGCUUGAGGUUAUCAGGGUGACAGGUGGUGCAUGGUUGUCGUCAGCUCGUGUCGUGAGAUGUUGGGUUAAGUCCCGUAACGAGCGCAACCCUUGUCGUUAGUUGCCAGCAUUAAGUUGGGGACUCUAACGAGACUGCCAGUGAUAAACUGGAGGAAGGUGGGGAUGACGUCAAAUCAUCAUGCCCCUUAUGACCUGGGCUACAAACGUGAUACAAUGGCUGGAACAAAGGGAAGCGAAAGGGUGACCUGGAGCAAAACUCAUAAAGACAGUCUCAGUUCGGAUUGAAGUCUGCAACUCGACUUCAUGAAGCCGGAAUCGCUAGUAAUCGUGGAUCAGAACGCCACGGUGAAUACGUUCUCGGGGUUUGUACACACCGCCCGU
rnacentral:rRNA from 1 species